rnacentral:lncRNA from 1 species
AGCAUAUCAACAGAUAGUUCUUCAGUAGGAGUGGUGCAUGUGAUCCUUUGACCUGAGAUCAUCAUGGUACCUUAUGUAUAUGGAUCUUUACUUUGAUUUAUUUCCUAGCACACUACUUUGAGAUGUGUGUGGGAUAUUUUGGGUAUGGUGAAGUAUGCAUGGAGAUUGUGAGUGGUCAAUAAGGAAUCGGUCACUUUUUGUAGGAGG